rnacentral:lncRNA from 1 species
AUCGAUGUUGUGCUUAAAAUCCGGAAAUGAUUUUUAGAACGUUGCCAAUAUAAUCGAUUAUGAAUUUGGUAUAAUCGAUUAUCUGUUUUUGAAUUUUGCCAGUAAUUGAUUAUGGAUUGCAAGUAAUCGAUUAUGAAGCGUAAAAUCUGGGAUUGAUUUUUGAUCUGACUGGCAGAUAAUCGAUUGUUCGGUCAUGACAAUCGAUUGUCACUGAGUN